rnacentral:misc_RNA from 1 species
GAAAUGCGAUAAGUAAUGUGAAUUGCAGAAUUCAGUGAAUCAUCGAAUCUUUGAACGCACAUUGCGCCCGCCAGUAUUCUGGCGGGCAUGCCUGUUCGAGCGUCAUUUCAACCAUCAAGCCCCCGGCUUGUGUUGGGGACCUGCGGCUGCCCGCAGGCCCUGAAAAUCAGUGGCGGGCUCGCUGUCACACCGAGCGUAGUAGCAUACAUUCUCGCUCAGGGCGUGCUGCGGGUUCCGGCCGUUAAACGACCUUCAUAACCCAAGGUUGACCUCGGAUCAGGUAGGAAGACCCGCUGAACUUAAGC